rnacentral:tRNA from 1 species
GGAGAGGUCGCAUAGUGGCCUAGUGCGCACGCUUGGAAAGCGUGUGAACCGCAAGGUUCCGAGAGUUCGAAUCUCUCCCUCUCCGCCA